UCUGCUCGAGCACCACGUGCCAGGGGUUGGGCAGGCGGGCAAGUGUUUCUCAGCACAGCCCGAAGGCGGUGUCACAACAGGACAAUUACAAAGCCCUUAUCGUUUACCUAGAGACCAACAGCCCCUGCCCGGCAACACAUCCUGAAGACAGUAGUGCCCUUCGAUCAAAGUAAACGCGAAACCACCAGGAUGUCCUCAGUGCCCUAUUUAUUUUUCUCAUUUUCAUGCUUCAGAAACCAUUACACCUUAUAAUGGAUGUGCUUCUUUUCUGAAAAAUGUAUAAACCUAUAGUCUGCCUUUUAAUAGGUGGAAUCCUAACUUUGAACAAGUGGUAUCUUGAAGAAAUACAGUGAUACUCGACAUAUGCUGUUUAAAAAGAUAAGGAAGCAUGUAAAGCAUUAGAAACACUUACAUCAAGAAAUGUUAGAAUAUAUAGACGCUCUAUGUGGAGAAGCUUUAGCUACCUGUGUUUAAGAUGUGUAAAACCCUAUUCCUGUGUCUGGCUGAGAUGAGGUGUUUCAUCCACAUGAUGGCUAGUGUGGUAGGUACCAACAUCCAGACUUGAGUUAAAAACACUUCAGAGCAUCCCUUAUGGAUGAGAUCAGGGCUCUCAGGCCAGAUCCAGCUCGGUCUAUUUUUGUGCAUCCCUUGAGCUUAGAAUGGGUUUUACAUUUUUAAGUGGUUGAAAAAAAAAAUCAAAAGCAGAAUAUUUCAUGUGACACAUGAAAGUCACAUGAAAUUCACAGUUCAGGGUCCGUAAAUAGAGCUCUGCUGGAACGCAGUUACACCCACUCGCCUCCGCCGGCCUCCGGAUAGAGGCAAGAGGCCCCCAGGCCUAAUCCGCUUCCUGUGGGGCCCGGGAGCCCCUGGGACACGCCGACCAGAAGGAAGGUCAGGACAGCAUCUGGGAAACAAGGUGGAAAAGCAGGAACAGAACACACGCCGUGAGGUCGCCUCCCUUCGUUAGCAUGAACCUUAGAAAACUCAAUAUCCGUGUACACGCGUCAUCGUCGACUGUUUCCACUGGUGUCAUUUCACAUCAUCAUGUUUACAUGUUAUUUACGUAUACGAGGAAUAUGCCCAUCUGCUGCUCGAGUCUGCCCUAGGACAAAGUCAGUUCAAUCCAGCCCUGUGGCGUCCUCAGUGGGCAAGACACAGUCAUUUCCUCAGAGCCCGCCAGCUAGGAACGAGUUUUGUAAAUGGAAAGCUGCGACCCACGGCACCUGAAAUUAAUCUAGUGGCUCCACAGUCAACAUUUAAAUGAAAAAAUGAAACACUAGAUUAUCAGAGAA